rnacentral:rRNA from 1 species
UGUCGUCAGCUCGUGCCGUGAGGUGUUGGGUUAAGUCCCGCAACGAGCGCAACCCUACUUUUUAGUUGCCAUCAGGUUAAGCUGGGCACUCUAAAGAGACUGCCGUCGAUAAGGCGGAGGAAGGUGGGGACGACGUCAAGUCAUCAUGGCCCUUAUGUCUAGGGCUACACACGUGCUACAAUGGGUUAUACAGAGGGCAGCUAGCUCGCGAGAGUCUGCGAAUCCCUUAAAGUAAUCCUCAGUUCGGAUUGUAGUCUGCAACUCGACUACAUGAAGUUGGAAUCGCUAGUAAUCGCAGGUCAGCAAAACUGCGGUGAAUACGUUCCCGGGCCUU